rnacentral:rRNA from 1 species
UACGUAGGGACCGAGCGUUGUCCGGAUUUAUUGGGCGUAAAGAGCGUGUAGGCGGUCAGGUAGGUCGGUUGUGAAAACUGGAGGCUCAACCUUCAGAGGUCGACCGAAACCCCCUGGCUAGAGUCCGGGAGAGGAGAGUGGAAUUCCUGGUGUAGCGGUGAAAUGCGCAGAUAUCAGGAAGAACACCCGUGGCGAAAGCGGCUCUCUGGAACGGUACUGACGCUGAGACGCGAAAGCGUGGGGAGCGAACAGG